UUCCGGUUGAUCCUGCCGGAGGUCAUUGCUAUUGGAGUCCGAUUUAGCCAUGCUAGUCGUACGAAUUUAGAUUCGUGGCGAAUAGCUCAGUGACACGUGGCCAAACUACCCUGUCGAGCACGAUAACCUCGGGAAACUGAGGCUAAUAGUGCAUACGGCUCGAUGCCUGGAAGUGGCUCGAGCCCGAAACGCUCCGGCGCGACAGGAUGUGGCUGCGGCCGAUUAGGUAGACGGUGGGGUAACGGCCCACCGUGCCAAUAAUCGGUACGGGUUGUGAGAGCAAGAGCCCGGAGACGGUAUCUGAGACAAGAUACCGGGCCCUACGGGGCGCAGCAGGCGCGAAACCUUUACACUGCACGACAGUGCGAUAGGGGGACUCCGAGUGCGAGGGCAUAUCGUCCUCGCUUUUCUACACCGUAAGGUGGUGCAGGAAUAAGUGCUGGGCAAGACCGGUGCCAGCCGCCGCGGUAAUACCGGCAGCACGAGUGAUGGCCGCUAUUAUUGGGCCUAAAGCGUCCGUAGCUGGCCGAUCAAGUCCAUCGGGAAAUCUGCGUGCCUAACACGCAGGCGUCCGGUGGAAACUGUUCGGCUUGGGACCGGAAGACCCGAGGGGUACGUCCGGGGUAGGAGUGAAAUCCCGUAAUCCUGGACGGACCACCGGUGGCGAAAGCGCCUCGGGAGGACGGAUCCGACGGUGAGGGACGAAAGCUUGGGUCACGAACCGGAUUAGAUACCCGGGUAGUCCAAGCUGUAAACGAUGUCUGCUAGGUGUGGCACAGGCUACGAGCCUGUGCUGUGCCGUAGGGAAGCCGUGAAGCAGACCGCCUGGGAAGUACGUCUGCAAGGAUGAAACUUAAAGGAAUUGGCGGGGGAGCACUACAACCGGAGGAGCCUGCGGUUUAAUUGGAUUCAACGCCGGA
rnacentral:rRNA from 1 species